GGCGAGUGGCGAACGGGUUGAGUAAUACAUGGGAACGUCGUCCUAGGAGUGGGGGGAUAGCCCGGCGAAAGCCGGAUUAAUACCGCAUACGCUCUGUGGAGGAAAGCGGGGGAUUUCGGACCUCGCGCUAAAGGGGCGGCCGAUGGCAGUUUAGCUAGUUGGUGGGGUAAAGGCCUACCAAGGCGACGAUCUGUAGCUGGUCUGAGAGGACGACCAGCCACACUGGGACUGAGACACGGCCCACACUCCUACGGGAGGCAGCAGUGGGGAAUUUUGGACAAUGGGGGCAACCCUGAUCCAGCAAUGCCGCGUGUGUGAAGAAGGCCUUCGGGUUGUAAAGCACUUUUGUCCGGAAAGAAAACCGCUUUCUCUAAUACAGGGGCGGGAUGACGGUACCGGAAGAAUAAGCACCGGCUAACUACGUGCCAGCAGCCGCGGUAAUACGUAGGGUGCAAGCGUUAAUCGGAAUUACUGGGCGUAAAGCGUGCGCAGGCGGUUCGCUAAGACCGAUGUGAAAUCCCCGGGCUUAACCUGGGAACUGCUUGGUGACUGGCGGGCUAAGUAUGGCAGAGGGGGGUAGAA
rnacentral:rRNA from 1 species